UCCCUGGUGGCUCAGACGGUAAAGCGCCUGCCUGCAAUGCAGGAGACCCAGGUUUGAUCCCUGGGUUGGGAA
rnacentral:tRNA from 1 species